AGCUGUCUCUGAUCCUGCAUCAAUGGCCCAGCUCAACCCAGUCUCCGAACAGGUGUUGGGACACAUCCCGUGUCCAGCUGUUCAUCUCUCUAUUGCAGACACUAUGGAGAUGUUUGGACUGCAGUAUAAUGAGCAUGGUUGCCCCCAGUUCCUGUGGACUGGGACCAGCACAGGACCAAGACUGCCCGACCUCCUCCAGAGCAGUGCAUCCACUGCACAGUCAUCGUAAUGGACGUGGCACUAAGGAGGAUUGUCCAGCCGCAGAUGACGCUGAAGAACCGUUACAAGCCGCUAACACCAGUCUGCUUCAGCAGCUUGGUUGAAAUGGAGAUUGGAUGAUGCACUGUGCCCAACUAAUCAUACACGUGAUGCCUUGAGAGGUCGGGGUCAGAUUAUCCUGUCAUCCUCACCUGAUUGUCUCAUUCCCUUCACCUGGUCCUCACGUCCUUCUCACCUGCCUCUGAUCACCUCGUUAGUCCCUCAUUCCCUUCACCUGGUCCUCACGCCCUUCUCACCUGCAGCCCAUCCCCUCAUUAGUCCCUCACUAUUUAGCUCCCUCACUUCCACUUGUCCUCUGCCAGAUUGUCUUGUGUGUCCGCCAAACUUUCCAGCGAAUUCCUAGUACUAGUUCUGAUCUGCUUGUUACGACCCUGCUUGCCUGUUAACCCGACUUGAGAUUUUUGCCUGCCCCUUUUUGGAUUUGUUGCCCUGUUUGACCCUGCCUGAAACAUUAAGUAAAGAGCCUCCUCCUGCA